GACGAACGCUGGCGGCGUGCUUAACACAUGCAAGUCGAACGGUGAAGCGCCUUCCUUUUUGGUGGGUGUGGAUGAGUGGCGAACGGGUGAGUAACACGUGAGUAACCUGCCCCCUUCUUCUGGAUAACCGCAUGAAAGUGUGGCUAAUACGGGAUAUUCUGGGUCUGUCGCAUGAUGGGUCUGGGAAAGAUCUUGUUUCGGUGGGGGAUGGGCUCGCGGCCUAUCAGCUUGUUGGUGGGGUGAUGGCCUACCAAGGCGGUGACGGGUAGCCGGCCUGGGAGGGUGGACGGUCACACUGGGACUGAGACACGGCCCAGACUCCUACGGGAGGCAGCAGUGGGGAAUAUUGCACAAUGGGCGCAAGCCUGAUGCAGCGACGCCGCGUGAGGGAUGGAGGCCUUCGGGUUGUGAACCUCUUUCGCCAGUGAAGCAGGCCUGCCUCGUUUGUGGGUGGGUUGACGGUAGCUGGAGAAGAAGCGCCGGCUAACUACGUG
rnacentral:rRNA from 1 species